GGCGGACCGCGACAGGGUGCUGGACCCGAAGCCGGAGGGCGUGCCGCUGCGCUGCGUCCCGCUGGACGAGGACGCGGAGUUCGUGGCGCUGGAGGACGAGUGGCGCGGCCUGCUGCAGGACCCACAGCGCAACAGCAUGCCGCUGAAGGACCUGGAGAGGAGGAUGAACGACCGCGCGCACGACGUUGCGUGCGACAAGAAGUGGGCGGACCGCGACAGGGUGCUGGACCCGAAGCCGGAGGGCGUGCCGCUGCGCUGCGUCCCGCUGGACGAGGACGCGGAGUUCGUGGCGCUGGAGGACGAGUGGCGCGGCCUGCUGCAGGACCCACAGCGCAGCAGCAUGCCGCUGAAGGACCUGGAGAGGAGGAUGAACGACCGCGCGCACGACCUUGCGUGCGACAAGAAGUGGGCGGACCGCGACAGGGUGCUGGACCCGAAGCCGGAGGGCGUGCCGCUGCGCUGCGUCCCGCUGGACGAGGACGCGGAGUUCGUGGCGCUGGAGGACGAGUGGCGCGGCCUGCUGCAGGACCCACAGCGCAGCAGCAUGCCGCUGAAGGACCUGGAGAGGAGGAUGAACGACCGCGCGCACGACCUUGCGUGCGACAAGAAGUGGGCGGACCGCGACAGGGUGCUGGACCCGAAGCCGGAGGGCGUGCCGCUGCGCUGCGUCCCGCUGGACGAGGACGCGGAGUUCGUGGCGCUGGAGGACGAGUGGCGCGGCCUGCUGCAGGACCCACAGCGCAGCAGCAUGCCGCUGAAGGACCUGGAGAGGAGGAUGAACGACCGCGCGCACGACCUUGCGUGCGACAAGAAGUGGGCGGACCGCGACAGGGUGCUGGACCCGAAGCCGGAGGGCGUGCCGCUGCGCUGCGUCCCGCUGGACGAGGACGCGGAGUUCGUGGCGCUGGAGGACGAGUGGCGCGGCCUGCUGCAGGACCCACAGCGCAGCAGCAUGCCGCUGAAGGACCUGGAGAGGAGGAUGAACGACCGCGCGCACGACCUUGCGUGCGACAAGAAGUGGGCGGACCGCGACAGGGUGCUGGACCCGAAGCCGGAGGGCGUGCCGCUGCGCUGCGUCCCGCUGGACGAGGACGCGGAGUUCGUGGCGCUGGAGGACGAGUGGCGCGGCCUGCUGCAGGACCCACAGCGCAGCAGCAUGCCGCUGAAGGACCUGGAGAGGAGGAUGAACGACCGCGCGCACGACCUUGCGUGCGACAAGAAGUGGGCGGACCGCGACAGGGUGCUGGACCCGAAGCCGGAGGGCGUGCCGCUGCGCUGCGUCCCGCUGGACGAGGACGCGGAGUUCGUGGCGCUGGAGGACGAGUGGCGCGGCCUGCUGCAGGACCCACAGCGCAACAGCAUGCCGCUGAAGGACCUGGAGAGGAGGAUGAACGACCGCGCGCACGACCUUGCGUGCGACAAGAAGUGGGCGGACCGCGACAGGGUGCUGGACCCGAAGCCGGAGGGCGUGCCGCUGCGCUGCGUCCCGCUGGACGAGGACGCGGAGUUCGUGGCGCUGGAGGACGAGUGGCGCGGCCUGCUGCAGGACCCACAGCGCAGCAGCAUGCCGCUGAAGGACCUGGAGAGGAGGAUGAACGACCGCGCGCACGACGUUGCGUGCGACAAGAAGUGGGCGGACCGCGACAGGGUGCUGGACCCGAAGCCGGAGGGCGUGCCGCUGCGCUGCGUCCCGCUGGACGAGGACGCGGAGUUCGUGGCGCUGGAGGACGAGUGGCGCGGCCUGCUGCAGGACCCACAGCGCAGCAGCAUGCCGCUGAAGGACCUGGAGAGGAGGAUGAACGACCGCGCGCACGACCUUGCGUGCGACAAGAAGUGGGCGGACCGCGACAGGGUGCUGGACCCGAAGCCGGAGGGCGUGCCGCUGCGCUGCGUCCCGCUGGACGAGGACGCGGAGUUCGUGGCGCUGGAGGACGAGUGGCGCGGCCUGCUGCAGGACCCACAGCGCAGCAGCAUGCCGCUGAAGGACCUGGAGAGGAGGAUGAACGACCGCGCGCACGACCUUGCGUGCGACAAGAAGUGGGCGGACCGCGACAGGGUGCUGGACCCGAAGCCGGAGGGCGUGCCGCUGCGCUGCGUCCCGCUGGACGAGGACGCGGAGUUCGUGGCGCUGGAGGACGAGUGGCGCGGCCUGCUGCAGGACCCACAGCGCAGCAGCAUGCCGCUGAAGGACCUGGAGAGGAGGAUGAACGACCGCGCGCACGACCUUGCGUGCGACAAGAAGUGGGCGGACCGCGACAGGGUGCUGGACCCGAAGCCGGAGGGCGUGCCGCUGCGCUGCGUCCCGCUGGACGAGGACGCGGAGUUCGUGGCGCUGGAGGACGAGUGGCGCGGCCUGCUGCAGGACCCACAGCGCAGCAGCAUGCCGCUGAAGGACCUGGAGAGGAGGAUGAACGACCGCGCGCACGACCUUGCGUGCGACAAGAAGUGGGCGGACCGCGACAGGGUGCUGGACCCGAAGCCGGAGGGCGUGCCGCUGCGCUGCGUCCCGCUGGACGAGGACGCGGAGUUCGUGGCGCUGGAGGACGAGUGGCGCGGCCUGCUGCAGGACCCACAGCGCAACAGCAUGCCGCUGAAGGACCUGGAGAGGAGGAUGAACGACCGCGCGCACGACCUUGCGUGCGACAAGAAGUGGGCGGACCGCGACAGGGUGCUGGACCCGAAGCCGGAGGGCGUGCCGCUGCGCUGCGUCCCGCUGGACGAGGACGCGGAGUUCGUGGCGCUGGAGGACGAGUGGCGCGGCCUGCUGCAGGACCCACAGCGCAGCAGCAUGCCGCUGAAGGACCUGGAGAGGAGGAUGAACGACCGCGCGCACGACCUUGCGUGCGACAAGAAGUGGGCGGACCGCGACAGGGUGCUGGACCCGAAGCCGGAGGGCGUGCCGCUGCGCUGCGUCCCGCUGGACGAGGACGCGGAGUUCGUGGCGCUGGAGGACGAGUGGCGCGGCCUGCUGCAGGACCCACAGCGCAACAGCAUGCCGCUGAAGGACCUGGAGAGGAGGAUGAACGACCGCGCGCACGACCUUGCGUGCGACAAGAAGUGGGCGGACCGCGACAGGGUGCUGGACCCGAAGCCGGAGGGCGUGCCGCUGCGCUGCGUCCCGCUGGACGAGGACGCGGAGUUCGUGGCGCUGGAGGACGAGUGGCGCGGCCUGCUGCAGGACCCACAGCGCAACAGCAUGCCGCUGAAGGACCUGGAGAGGAGGAUGAACGACCGCGCGCACGACCUUGCGUGCGACAAGAAGUGGGCGGACCGCGACAGGGUGCUGGACCCGAAGCCGGAGGGCGUGCCGCUGCGCUGCGUCCCGCUGGACGAGGACGCGGAGUUCGUGGCGCUGGAGGACGAGUGGCGCGGCCUGCUGCAGGACCCACAGCGCAACAGCAUGCCGCUGAAGGACCUGGAGAGGAGGAUGAACGACCGCGCGCACGACCUUGCGUGCGACAAGAAGUGGGCGGACCGCGACAGGGUGCUGGACCCGAAGCCGGAGGGCGUGCCGCUGCGCUGCGUCCCGCUGGACGAGGACGCGGAGUUCGUGGCGCUGGAGGACGAGUGGCGCGGCCUGCUGCAGGACCCACAGCGCAACAGCAUGCCGCUGAAGGACCUGGAGAGGAGGAUGAACGACCGCGCGCACGACCUUGCGUGCGACAAGAAGUGGGCGGACCGCGACAGGGUGCUGGACCCGAAGCCGGAGGGCGUGCCGCUGCGCUGCGUCCCGCUGGACGAGGACGCGGAGUUCGUGGCGCUGGAGGACGAGUGGCGCGGCCUGCUGCAGGACCCACAGCGCAGCAGCAUGCCGCUGAAGGACCUGGAGAGGAGGAUGAACGACCGCGCGCACGACCUUGCGUGCGACAAGAAGUGGGCGGACCGCGACAGGGUGCUGGACCCGAAGCCGGAGGGCGUGCCGCUGCGCUGCGUCCCGCUGGACGAGGACGCGGAGUUCGUGGCGCUGGAGGACGAGUGGCGCGGCCUGCUGCAGGACCCACAGCGCAACAGCAUGCCGCUGAAGGACCUGGAGAGGAGGAUGAACGACCGCGCGCACGACCUUGCGUGCGACAAGAAGUGGGCGGACCGCGACAGGGUGCUGGACCCGAAGCCGGAGGGCGUGCCGCUGCGCUGCGUCCCGCUGGACGAGGACGCGGAGUUCGUGGCGCUGGAGGACGAGUGGCGCGGCCUGCUGCAGGACCCACAGCGCAACAGCAUGCCGCUGAAGGACCUGGAGAGGAGGAUGAACGACCGCGCGCACGACCUUGCGUGCGACAAGAAGUGGGCGGACCGCGACAGGGUGCUGGACCCGAAGCCGGAGGGCGUGCCGCUGCGCUGCGUCCCGCUGGACGAGGACGCGGAGUUCGUGGCGCUGGAGGACGAGUGGCGCGGCCUGCUGCAGGACCCACAGCGCAACAGCAUGCCGCUGAAGGACCUGGAGAGGAGGAUGAACGACCGCGCGCACGACCUUGCGUGCGACAAGAAGUGGGCGGACCGCGACAGGGUGCUGGACCCGAAGCCGGAGGGCGUGCCGCUGCGCUGCGUCCCGCUGGACGAGGACGCGGAGUUCGUGGCGCUGGAGGACGAGUGGCGCGGCCUGCUGCAGGACCCACAGCGCAACAGCAUGCCGCUGAAGGACCUGGAGAGGAGGAUGAACGACCGCGCGCACGACCUUGCGUGCGACAAGAAGUGGGCGGACCGCGACAGGGUGCUGGACCCGAAGCCGGAGGGCGUGCCGCUGCGCUGCGUCCCGCUGGACGAGGACGCGGAGUUCGUGGCGCUGGAGGACGAGUGGCGCGGCCUGCUGCAGGACCCACAGCGCAACAGCAUGCCGCUGAAGGACCUGGAGAGGAGGAUGAACGACCGCGCGCACGACCUUGCGUGCGACAAGAAGUGGGCGGACCGCGACAGGGUGCUGGACCCGAAGCCGGAGGGCGUGCCGCUGCGCUGCGUCCCGCUGGACGAGGACGCGGAGUUCGUGGCGCUGGAGGACGAGUGGCGCGGCCUGCUGCAGGACCCACAGCGCAGCAGCAUGCCGCUGAAGGACCUGGAGAGGAGGAUGAACGACCGCGCGCACGACCUUGCGUGCGACAAGAAGUGGGCGGACCGCGACAGGGUGCUGGACCCGAAGCCGGAGGGCGUGCCGCUGCGCUGCGUCCCGCUGGACGAGGACGCGGAGUUCGUGGCGCUGGAGGACGAGUGGCGCGGCCUGCUGCAGGACCCACAGCGCAACAGCAUGCCGCUGAAGGACCUGGAGAGGAGGAUGAACGACCGCGCGCACGACCUUGCGUGCGACAAGAAGUGGGCGGACCGCGACAGGGUGCUGGACCCGAAGCCGGAGGGCGUGCCGCUGCGCUGCGUCCCGCUGGACGAGGACGCGGAGUUCGUGGCGCUGGAGGACGAGUGGCGCGGCCUGCUGCAGGACCCACAGCGCAGCAGCAUGCCGCUGAAGGACCUGGAGAGGAGGAUGAACGACCGCGCGCACGACCUUGCGUGCGACAAGAAGUGGGCGGACCGCGACAGGGUGCUGGACCCGAAGCCGGAGGGCGUGCCGCUGCGCUGCGUCCCGCUGGACGAGGACGCGGAGUUCGUGGCGCUGGAGGACGAGUGGCGCGGCCUGCUGCAGGACCCACAGCGCAGCAGCAUGCCGCUGAAGGACCUGGAGAGGAGGAUGAACGACCGCGCGCACGACCUUGCGUGCGACAAGAAGUGGGCGGACCGCGACAGGGUGCUGGACCCGAAGCCGGAGGGCGUGCCGCUGCGCUGCGUCCCGCUGGACGAGGACGCGGAGUUCGUGGCGCUGGAGGACGAGUGGCGCGGCCUGCUGCAGGACCCACAGCGCAGCAGCAUGCCGCUGAAGGACCUGGAGAGGAGGAUGAACGACCGCGCGCACGACCUUGCGUGCGACAAGAAGUGGGCGGACCGCGACAGGGUGCUGGACCCGAAGCCGGAGGGCGUGCCGCUGCGCUGCGUCCCGCUGGACGAGGACGCGGAGUUCGUGGCGCUGGAGGACGAGUGGCGCGGCCUGCUGCAGGACCCACAGCGCAGCAGCAUGCCGCUGAAGGACCUGGAGAGGAGGAUGAACGACCGCGCGCACGACCUUGCGUGCGACAAGAAGUGGGCGGACCGCGACAGGGUGCUGGACCCGAAGCCGGAGGGCGUGCCGCUGCGCUGCGUCCCGCUGGACGAGGACGCGGAGUUCGUGGCGCUGGAGGACGAGUGGCGCGGCCUGCUGCAGGACCCACAGCGCAACAGCAUGCCGCUGAAGGACCUGGAGAGGAGGAUGAACGACCGCGCGCACGACCUUGCGUGCGACAAGAAGUGGGCGGACCGCGACAGGGUGCUGGACCCGAAGCCGGAGGGCGUGCCGCUGCGCUGCGUCCCGCUGGACGAGGACGCGGAGUUCGUGGCGCUGGAGGACGAGUGGCGCGGCCUGCUGCAGGACCCACAGCGCAACAGCAUGCCGCUGAAGGACCUGGAGAGGAGGAUGAACGACCGCGCGCACGACCUUGCGUGCGACAAGAAGUGGGCGGACCGCGACAGGGUGCUGGACCCGAAGCCGGAGGGCGUGCCGCUGCGCUGCGUCCCGCUGGACGAGGACGCGGAGUUCGUGGCGCUGGAGGACGAGUGGCGCGGCCUGCUGCAGGACCCACAGCGCAACAGCAUGCCGCUGAAGGACCUGGAGAGGAGGAUGAACGACCGCGCGCACGACCUUGCGUGCGACAAGAAGUGGGCGGACCGCGACAGGGUGCUGGACCCGAAGCCGGAGGGCGUGCCGCUGCGCUGCGUCCCGCUGGACGAGGACGCGGAGUUCGUGGCGCUGGAGGACGAGUGGCGCGGCCUGCUGCAGGACCCACAGCGCAGCAGCAUGCCGCUGAAGGACCUGGAGAGGAGGAUGAACGACCGCGCGCACGACCUUGCGUGCGACAAGAAGUGGGCGGACCGCGACAGGGUGCUGGACCCGAAGCCGGAGGGCGUGCCGCUGCGCUGCGUCCCGCUGGACGAGGACGCGGAGUUCGUGGCGCUGGAGGACGAGUGGCGCGGCCUGCUGCAGGACCCACAGCGCAGCAGCAUGCCGCUGAAGGACCUGGAGAGGAGGAUGAACGACCGCGCGCACGACCUUGCGUGCGACAAGAAGUGGGCGGACCGCGACAGGGUGCUGGACCCGAAGCCGGAGGGCGUGCCGCUGCGCUGCGUCCCGCUGGACGAGGACGCGGAGUUCGUGGCGCUGGAGGACGAGUGGCGCGGCCUGCUGCAGGACCCACAGCGCAGCAGCAUGCCGCUGAAGGACCUGGAGAGGAGGAUGAACGACCGCGCGCACGACCUUGCGUGCGACAAGAAGUGGGCGGACCGCGACAGGGUGCUGGACCCGAAGCCGGAGGGCGUGCCGCUGCGCUGCGUCCCGCUGGACGAGGACGCGGAGUUCGUGGCGCUGGAGGACGAGUGGCGCGGCCUGCUGCAGGACCCACAGCGCAGCAGCAUGCCGCUGAAGGACCUGGAGAGGAGGAUGAACGACCGCGCGCACGACCUUGCGUGCGACAAGAAGUGGGCGGACCGCGACAGGGUGCUGGACCCGAAGCCGGAGGGCGUGCCGCUGCGCUGCGUCCCGCUGGACGAGGACGCGGAGUUCGUGGCGCUGGAGGACGAGUGGCGCGGCCUGCUGCAGGACCCACAGCGCAGCAGCAUGCCGCUGAAGGACCUGGAGAGGAGGAUGAACGACCGCGCGCACGACCUUGCGUGCGACAAGAAGUGGGCGGACCGCGACAGGGUGCUGGACCCGAAGCCGGAGGGCGUGCCGCUGCGCUGCGUCCCGCUGGACGAGGACGCGGAGUUCGUGGCGCUGGAGGACGAGUGGCGCGGCCUGCUGCAGGACCCACAGCGCAACAGCAUGCCGCUGAAGGACCUGGAGAGGAGGAUGAACGACCGCGCGCACGACCUUGCGUGCGACAAGAAGUGGGCGGACCGCGACAGGGUGCUGGACCCGAAGCCGGAGGGCGUGCCGCUGCGCUGCGUCCCGCUGGACGAGGACGCGGAGUUCGUGGCGCUGGAGGACGAGUGGCGCGGCCUGCUGCAGGACCCACAGCGCAACAGCAUGCCGCUGAAGGACCUGGAGAGGAGGAUGAACGACCGCGCGCACGACCUUGCGUGCGACAAGAAGUGGGCGGACCGCGACAGGGUGCUGGACCCGAAGCCGGAGGGCGUGCCGCUGCGCUGCGUCCCGCUGGACGAGGACGCGGAGUUCGUGGCGCUGGAGGACGAGUGGCGCGGCCUGCUGCAGGACCCACAGCGCAACAGCAUGCCGCUGAAGGACCUGGAGAGGAGGAUGAACGACCGCGCGCACGACCUUGCGUGCGACAAGAAGUGGGCGGACCGCGACAGGGUGCUGGACCCGAAGCCGGAGGGCGUGCCGCUGCGCUGCGUCCCGCUGGACGAGGACGCGGAGUUCGUGGCGCUGGAGGACGAGUGGCGCGGCCUGCUGCAGGACCCACAGCGCAGCAGCAUGCCGCUGAAGGACCUGGAGAGGAGGAUGAACGACCGCGCGCACGACCUUGCGUGCGACAAGAAGUGGGCGGACCGCGACAGGGUGCUGGACCCGAAGCCGGAGGGCGUGCCGCUGCGCUGCGUCCCGCUGGACGAGGACGCGGAGUUCGUGGCGCUGGAGGACGAGUGGCGCGGCCUGCUGCAGGACCCACAGCGCAAGCAGCAUGCCGCUGAAGGACCUGGAGAGGAGGAUGAACGACCGCGCGCACGACCUUGCGUGCGACAAGAAGUGGGCGGACCGCGACAGGGUGCUGGACCGAAGCCGGAGGGCGUGCCGCUGCGCUGCGUCCCGCUGGACGAGGACGCGGAGUUCGUGGCGCUGGAGGACGAGUGGCGCGGCCUGCUGCAGGACCCACAGCGCAGCAGCAUGCCGCUGAAGGACCUGGAGAGGAGGAUGAACGACCGCGCGCACGACCUUGCGUGCGACAAGAAGUGGGCGGACCGCGACAGGGUGCUGGACCCGAAGCCGGAGGGCGUGCCGCUGCGCUGCGUCCCGCUGGACGAGGACGCGGAGUUCGUGGCGCUGGAGGACGAGUGGCGCGGCCUGCUGCAGGACCCACAGCGCAGCAGCAUGCCGCUGAAGGACCUGGAGAGGAGGAUGAACGACCGCGCGCACGACCUUGCGUGCGACAAGAAGUGGGCGGACCGCGACAGGGUGCUGGACCCGAAGCCGGAGGGCGUGCCGCUGCGCUGCGUCCCGCUGGACGAGGACGCGGAGUUCGUGGCGCUGGAGGACGAGUGGCGCGGCCUGCUGCAGGACCCACAGCGCAGCAGCAUGCCGCUGAAGGACCUGGAGAGGAGGAUGAACGACCGCGCGCACGACCUUGCGUGCGACAAGAAGUGGGCGGACCGCGACAGGGUGCUGGACCCGAAGCCGGAGGGCGUGCCGCUGCGCUGCGUCCCGCUGGACGAGGACGCGGAGUUCGUGGCGCUGGAGGACGAGUGGCGCGGCCUGCUGCAGGACCCACAGCGCAGCAGCAUGCCGCUGAAGGACCUGGAGAGGAGGAUGAACGACCGCGCGCACGACCUUGCGUGCGACAAGAAGUGGCGGACCGCGACAGGGUGCUGGACCCGAAGCCGGAGGGCGUGCCGCUGCGCUGCGUCCCGCUGGACGAGGACGCGGAGUUCGUGGCGCUGGAGGACGAGUGGCGCGGCCUGCUGCAGGACCCACAGCGCAACAGCAUGCCGCUGAAGGACCUGGAGAGGAGGAUGAACGACCGCGCGCACGACCUUGCGUGCGACAAGAAGUGGGCGGACCGCGACAGGGUGCUGGACCCGAAGCCGGAGGGCGUGCCGCUGCGCUGCGUCCCGCUGGACGAGGACGCGGAGUUCGUGGCGCUGGAGGACGAGUGGCGCGGCCUGCUGCAGGACCCACAGCGCAACAGCAUGCCGCUGAAGGACCUGGAGAGGAGGAUGAACGACCGCGCGCACGACCUUGCGUGCGACAAGAAGUGGGCGGACCGCGACAGGGUGCUGGACCCGAAGCCGGAGGGCGUGCCGCUGCGCUGCGUCCCGCUGGACGAGGACGCGGAGUUCGUGGCGCUGGAGGACGAGUGGCGCGGCCUGCUGCAGGACCCACAGCGCAACAGCAUGCCGCUGAAGGACCUGGAGAGGAGGAUGAACGACCGCGCGCACGACCUUGCGUGCGACAAGAAGUGGGCGGACCGCGACAGGGUGCUGGACCCGAAGCCGGAGGGCGUGCCGCUGCGCUGCGUCCCGCUGGACGAGGACGCGGAGUUCGUGGCGCUGGAGGACGAGUGGCGCGGCCUGCUGCAGGACCCACAGCGCAACAGCAUGCCGCUGAAGGACCUGGAGAGGAGGAUGAACGACCGCGCGCACGACCUUGCGUGCGACAAGAAGUGGGCGGACCGCGACAGGGUGCUGGACCCGAAGCCGGAGGGCGUGCCGCUGCGCUGCGUCCCGCUGGACGAGGACGCGGAGUUCGUGGCGCUGGAGGACGAGUGGCGCGGCCUGCUGCAGGACCCACAGCGCAACAGCAUGCCGCUGAAGGACCUGGAGAGGAGGAUGAACGACCGCGCGCACGACGUUGCGUGCGACAAGAAGUGGGCGGACCGCGACAGGGUGCUGGACCCGAAGCCGGAGGGCGUGCCGCUGCGCUGCGUCCCGCUGGACGAGGACGCGGAGUUCGUGGCGCUGGAGGACGAGUGGCGCGGCCUGCUGCAGGACCCACAGCGCAGCAGCAUGCCGCUGAAGGACCUGGAGAGGAGGAUGAACGACCGCGCGCACGACCUUGCGUGCGACAAGAAGUGGGCGGACCGCGACAGGGUGCUGGACCCGAAGCCGGAGGGCGUGCCGCUGCGCUGCGUCCCGCUGGACGAGGACGCGGAGUUCGUGGCGCUGGAGGACGAGUGGCGCGGCCUGCUGCAGGACCCACAGCGCAGCAGCAUGCCGCUGAAGGACCUGGAGAGGAGGAUGAACGACCGCGCGCACGACCUUGCGUGCGACAAGAAGUGGCGGACCGCGACAGGGUGCUGGACCCGAAGCCGGAGGGCGUGCCGCUGCGCUGCGUCCCGCUGGACGAGGACGCGGAGUUCGUGGCGCUGGAGGACGAGUGGCGCGGCCUGCUGCAGGACCCACAGCGCAGCAGCAUGCCGCUGAAGGACCUGGAGAGGAGGAUGAACGACCGCGCGCACGACGUUGCGUGCGACAAGAAGUGGGCGGACCGCGACAGGGUGCUGGACCCGAAGCCGGAGGGCGUGCCGCUGCGCUGCGUCCCGCUGGACGAGGACGCGGAGUUCGUGGCGCUGGAGGACGAGUGGCGCGGCCUGCUGCAGGACCCACAGCGCAGCAGCAUGCCGCUGAAGGACCUGGAGAGGAGGAUGAACGACCGCGCGCACGACCUUGCGUGCGACAAGAAGUGGGCGGACCGCGACAGGGUGCUGGACCCGAAGCCGGAGGGCGUGCCGCUGCGCUGCGUCCCGCUGGACGAGGACGCGGAGUUCGUGGCGCUGGAGGACGAGUGGCGCGGCCUGCUGCAGGACCCACAGCGCAGCAGCAUGCCGCUGAAGGACCUGGAGAGGAGGAUGAACGACCGCGCGCACGACCUUGCGUGCGACAAGAAGUGGGCGGACCGCGACAGGGUGCUGGACCCGAAGCCGGAGGGCGUGCCGCUGCGCUGCGUCCCGCUGGACGAGGACGCGGAGUUCGUGGCGCUGGAGGACGAGUGGCGCGGCCUGCUGCAGGACCCACAGCGCAGCAGCAUGCCGCUGAAGGACCUGGAGAGGAGGAUGAACGACCGCGCGCACGACCUUGCGUGCGACAAGAAGUGGGCGGACCGCGACAGGGUGCUGGACCCGAAGCCGGAGGGCGUGCCGCUGCGCUGCGUCCCGCUGGACGAGGACGCGGAGUUCGUGGCGCUGGAGGACGAGUGGCGCGGCCUGCUGCAGGACCCACAGCGCAACAGCAUGCCGCUGAAGGACCUGGAGAGGAGGAUGAACGACCGCGCGCACGACCUUGCGUGCGACAAGAAGUGGGCGGACCGCGACAGGGUGCUGGACCCGAAGCCGGAGGGCGUGCCGCUGCGCUGCGUCCCGCUGGACGAGGACGCGGAGUUCGUGGCGCUGGAGGACGAGUGGCGCGGCCUGCUGCAGGACCCACAGCGCAACAGCAUGCCGCUGAAGGACCUGGAGAGGAGGAUGAACGACCGCGCGCACGACCUUGCGUGCGACAAGAAGUGGGCGGACCGCGACAGGGUGCUGGACCCGAAGCCGGAGGGCGUGCCGCUGCGCUGCGUCCCGCUGGACGAGGACGCGGAGUUCGUGGCGCUGGAGGACGAGUGGCGCGGCCUGCUGCAGGACCCACAGCGCAACAGCAUGCCGCUGAAGGACCUGGAGAGGAGGAUGAACGACCGCGCGCACGACCUUGCGUGCGACAAGAAGUGGGCGGACCGCGACAGGGUGCUGGACCCGAAGCCGGAGGGCGUGCCGCUGCGCUGCGUCCCGCUGGACGAGGACGCGGAGUUCGUGGCGCUGGAGGACGAGUGGCGCGGCCUGCUGCAGGACCCACAGCGCAACAGCAUGCCGCUGAAGGACCUGGAGAGGAGGAUGAACGACCGCGCGCACGACGUUGCGUGCGACAAGAAGUGGGCGGACCGCGACAGGGUGCUGGACCCGAAGCCGGAGGGCGUGCCGCUGCGCUGCGUCCCGCUGGACGAGGACGCGGAGUUCGUGGCGCUGGAGGACGAGUGGCGCGGCCUGCUGCAGGACCCACAGCGCAACAGCAUGCCGCUGAAGGACCUGGAGAGGAGGAUGAACGACCGCGCGCACGACGUUGCGUGCGGCAAGAAGUGGGCGGACCGCGACAGGGUGCUGGACCCGAAGCCGGAGGGCGUGCCGCUGCGCUGCGUCCCGCUGGACGAGGACGCGGAGUUCGUGGCGCUGGAGGACGAGUGGCGCGGCCUGCUGCAGGACCCACAGCGCAGCAGCAUGCCGCUGAAGGACCUGGAGAGGAGGAUGAACGACCGCGCGCACGACCUUGCGUGCGACAAGAAGUGGGCGGACCGCGACAGGGUGCUGGACCCGAAGCCGGAGGGCGUGCCGCUGCGCUGCGUCCCGCUGGACGAGGACGCGGAGUUCGUGGCGCUGGAGGACGAGUGGCGCGGCCUGCUGCAGGACCCACAGCGCAGCAGCAUGCCGCUGAAGGACCUGGAGAGGAGGAUGAACGACCGCGCGCACGACCUUGCGUGCGACAAGAAGUGGGCGGACCGCGACAGGGUGCUGGACCCGAAGCCGGAGGGCGUGCCGCUGCGCUGCGUCCCGCUGGACGAGGACGCGGAGUUCGUGGCGCUGGAGGACGAGUGGCGCGGCCUGCUGCAGGACCCACAGCGCAGCAGCAUGCCGCUGAAGGACCUGGAGAGGAGGAUGAACGACCGCGCGCACGACCUUGCGUGCGACAAGAAGUGGGCGGACCGCGACAGGGUGCUGGACCCGAAGCCGGAGGGCGUGCCGCUGCGCUGCGUCCCGCUGGACGAGGACGCGGAGUUCGUGGCGCUGGAGGACGAGUGGCGCGGCCUGCUGCAGGACCCACAGCGCAGCAGCAUGCCGCUGAAGGACCUGGAGAGGAGGAUGAACGACCGCGCGCACGACCUUGCGUGCGGCAAGAAGUGGGCGGACCGCGACAGGGUGCUGGACCCGAAGCCGGAGGGCGUGCCGCUGCGCUGCGUCCCGCUGGACGAGGACGCGGAGUUCGUGGCGCUGGAGGACGAGUGGCGCGGCCUGCUGCAGGACCCACAGCGCAACAGCAUGCCGCUGAAGGACCUGGAGAGGAGGAUGAACGACCGCGCGCACGACCUUGCGUGCGGCAAGAAGUGGGCGGACCGCGACAGGGUGCUGGACCCGAAGCCGGAGGGCGUGCCGCUGCGCUGCGUCCCGCUGGACGAGGACGCGGAGUUCGUGGCGCUGGAGGACGAGUGGCGCGGCCUGCUGCAGGACCCACAGCGGAACGCGAAACGUAUUGCCGUGCUGGAGGAGGACAUGACUGCUCGUGCGCUGUUGGUCGGGCAAAUAGUUAAUCGUCGGAAUGAGGACGGGGAUGUAGAGGAGUACGAGGAUUAUGUGAAGCGUGGGGCGUCUGAGUUUUGCGAUGUUGAUGAUCGUAAUACUGAUGAUGCGACUGUUGCUAUGUCGGUCGGGAAUGGAAGGCUCUCAAUGAAGGAAGGAUUCAAAGAGCUGCUGGGGACGGAGGUGGACGGUGUGCCGGUUCUGCUGCUUAAUUUAGACGAAGACUCUCUCUUUUCUGAGCGUAAUCGAGAGUACAUGAACUCAGAGAAGUUAGGACUUGAUCGAAGUAGAAUAUGUUGGCUUGAAGAGAAGAUGAUCGACCGCGCGUACGCACUUGCACGACGGUUCAAGGAUGAGGCUCGCAAAGUUAUUGUUGGCGUGCAGAUGUCGCAGAUGGCCGAAGGCGGCGCAGAGCUGGACAGCGACGAGAUAUUCCUUGCGUUUGAGCGGGAGCUCCACAAUUUAGAGGCAUGUGACCCUCGUGGCAAGUCUGGACGGAGGGCGGCUUUGGAGGAGUCGAUGCGGCACCGCGCGAGCGAGUUGGCGAGGCCGGUGCUGCACUUUGAUAAUGGUGGAAUUCCGGUAGACAUGCUGAACGAGCAGUCGAAUGGUGAGCUAUUCCCUAAGCGUCCUGACGGUGGUCGGCAGCGCCGCUCAUCAAAGGAUAUCGGGCAUCGUGAGCUCGGCACAAACAAGAGGAGAUGUCACAUUGCCGAUGAGGCGGUGGCAGACGACCCGUCUUUACUUUUUGGGAGGGAGAUACGCGGCGUUCCUGUUGACAGGAUUCCGCUCCGUGAAGACGAGGUAUUUAGAGGGCUUGCUGAAGAGAAACGACGCGUCACCAGCCACCCGGAGGACUACUCGUCUGGUUAUAAGGAGGAGGUCGAGGAUGCGAUGCGCCGUCGUGUGGAGGAGCUGGCGGAUGAGUACAAGAGGGACCACGUGGAGCGCACAGCCGCGCGGGAUGAACGUCCAAAGAUGCCCGCAAAGCCGAAUGGCGUGUCAAAGGAGUCGGGCGGCGCUGCGCGCCGUCCGCGGGCAAAGAAGAAGCUAAAGGAGGUGGAGGAGCGAACGGAGGAGCACCGACUGGAGACCGUGGAGGAAGCGGCCCCGUUUACGGACCCGCCGUUUCACAGCGCGAACAAGCAGGUGGCAGACUCCUGGCCGCGCAUUGCUGAUGUAUACCCAGAAGGUCUCACGCAGCCUCUCUUGCCAGACCAUCCCAAAGCAUCGGACAUGGCGUCCUCUGCCGGGGACUUGACGUAUCUCGCACCGUUCCUGGCGGCGUUGAGCCGGCAGCCACCGCUACUUCAUCGCCUCUUCCAGACAAAGAUGCACCCCGUCCGCGCACCGUAUAGAUUCGUUUUCUUUGACCCCAAUAGCGCUCCUGUCACGGUUGAGAUCGAUGACAGAAUCCCGUGUGACGUGAAUGGGGUGCCGCGGUUCACAGUUUCGCCCAGUGGUGCGUGGUGGCCAUUGCUGGUGGAGAGGGCCUACGCGAAGUAUGUCGGCGGUUACGAGCGGUUCGACCAGUGCACAUCGCACGAGACACUGCGAGACUUAACCGGCCGACCCGUCACGCAUCUUCCGCUGGACGCAAAGCUUUCAGCGGAAGUGGUGGGGUGCAAUUACCGAGAUGUGGCCUUCUGGCGGCGCAUUCACGAGCAGCUGGAGCGAGGCGACGUUUUCGUGGCGGUGUCGGGCGACCUGGUACCGGAUGGGAUUCACCCGCGCUGCUACUACGCCGUUUUCGACGUGAUCGAGACCGUGCCUGGGUCGAAUGACCCGUCCGAUGUCGUGGUGAAGAUCCACAACUGCUACCACGAUGCACCACAGUACCAUGGCCCACUGGCGAUGGGCGAUUCUGAUUGGACUCCCAUAUUACGGUCUGUGUGCAAGGCAAAUCCGGAGAGCGAGCCGGAGUUCUUGUACUUGCCACAGCCGGUAUUUUUGCGCAACUUCUCCAGCAUGCAGCGCUGCCACAUCAACUGCGGGGAUCGUCUCACAGUCUCUGGCGAAUGGGCCGAUAACUGCAGCGGCGGCAGUCCAACGUACACAACGUUUCGCCAAAAUCCGAUGUACCUGUUACAGAACAACUCGAACCACAACGUGACGGUGCUGGCCGAGCUGCGUCACAGCGCUCCCGUCUACUACGACGCACACAACAUGGGUGUGUACCACCUGACGGCUUUGGCGCUCUUGCGGCCUGACAGAAACGCACAGCUCGUGGCGCCGCUCCUGGCGCACAACACGCACAAAUUUGUGCAGAAGGGCCUUCUCACUGAUGCUCGAGAGGUCUGCGCGGAGAUGGAGCUGCCGGCAAACAGCACGUGCUACUUGAUCCCCUACACCAAGAAGAAGGCCUGCUUUGGCAAGUAUCAGCUCUCUGUCUACCCGCAAGACAACCCGGUGAACCUCACCACGCUUCGUCCAAUCGCCGAGACGCACAACUGCAUGGCGAAAGAUGUUGUGGUGCAGCCCGGCUCCGGCACUAGCGCUCGCGUCGAUAUUAUGGUGAGUGAGCCGUGCGACGUUCACGCUUUGUUGCACCAGAACAAGGUGACCGAUCCGACGGCGAUGAGGCGCGGCGACCACUUAGCCGAGGAUGAGAUAUUCAUGGCCGCCUACGAAAAUAAUGCUCUUCUCGUAUGCUCUACCGGGGACGCGUCAAACGCGCGCGAGCACUCCGUUGCGUUCCAGGCAGCCAAGGCUGGGCGCUACACCUUCUUGAUUGGCUGCCCUUCCAGGCCUGUCUCUGGAGAUGCUCCGUGCACGUUGAUCAUCUACACACCAAAAUUCGCGCAAGCAAGCUUUGCUUCCGUGAAUGGGUCGACACGCUCCAGAGUCCCGCCACGUGUGCAGCCUGUCAACGCCGCCACCACCUCCGCAAGUGCUCGUCUGGGCUCGUGGCAAUCCCAAGCGCCGCAGAGCUAUGCGCCCGUUUCCAACGGGGCAGUGCAUACGCCGCGCGGCAACCCGCGCAGCCGUGAGUACUUGCAGUAGCCAUCGUAGCAUGCGAGAGAGAGCAGAGAGAGGAGGGAGUGGCGGCGGUGCAGAGGUGCAAAGGCAAAAAAUGCACGCGUAUCCGCUACCUUUCCACAUCGCCGUUGUUUUGUCCUCUUCUGCUUCGGUGUCGCUUCCUUAUUUCACUACUUUCGCUCAGCCAGGUGCGAGGAGGGCCUUCUCUUUGCAGCCCUGAAAGGAGCAUCUCACUGGUCGUGUUGCGCAUGUGAGGCAAGCUGUGAAGAGCGUGUAUCGGCGCCGCUGUCUGCGUGAACGUGUGCCUGUGUCGUUACCUAGGUGUAGAGUAAUCCGUGUGGAUUGUCGCCGGCUCAAGCAGGCUGAGAACCACACACGCAUACACACACACACACACACACACACAUGCAGAAGAAACUCGGCGGUCGCUUGACACUUUUUUCUGUUUUUCUUCAUGUGACACAACGCUGUUUCUCACUGGAUGGACUCCUCCCACCGUCCCCCGGAGCCCCUCCCUAUAUCCCGAAACAGCGUCGGCAACGGGCCACUCGAGUAACACAGGCGCAUUUGCGUGCGUGUGUGCGUGUGACGUGGCGCUGCUUCGCUCUGUUUCCUCCAAGACGACCGAAGAAGGCGCGUUGCUUUGCGCAUCCGCACUGCCCCCCCCCCCGGAAGGGGCCAUGCCGAGCGUAUGUGUAUAUGUGUGAGGUUUGUGCCCGCUUCUCUCGUCCCGUCUCUCUCUCUCUGUGUGUGUAAGUACUUGUGCGUGACACUAAUUUUGCUUUAUUGUGGUGGUUGCCGUUGUUUCUUGAAAUCGCGCUCUGUUCCUCCGUUCAUUCAUGGUUCUCCACUACUCUCUUUCGCUUCUGCUCGCCCUCAUACUGUACCCCCCCCUCCCUCUCCCCUCACCACCACCACUACUUCAGAGGACCAUGAGCUUGAUACGCACGCCGUCUUCAUCCACAGCAGCGAACAUGCGUGUUGGGUGGAGUGGUGGUGGUGGUGGGGGGGGGCUGCAUUGCCUUUGUUCCUUUCUGACGUUCUCCGAUUUUUUUUGCUAUCUCCCUCUCCGCUACUUCUCGCCCGACGUGUGUGUGUGUGUGCUCCAGUCGACGACCGGCUCGUAUUUAAUCUUUUCCUUUUCGCCCCUGUUGUCGUCGCAUCGUCGAUUUCUUUUUCUUUUGCUUGGUUGGUUGGGCAUUUGCCUUUGCGGGUGCGUGUGCAUAUGCAUGUGUGCGUGCGUGCACAUAGCAGCAUGCUUGCUGUGCGUUCUUUCUCUGCCUCACCUCUUUCCUCGUUGAUGAGUCGGUUCGGCCGCGUCAUGCGCCGUUUGAUAUCAUAAUCAUUUAUUCUUAUUUGUGCUCCUCUCCGGUUGCGGUGGUUCUUCUCCCACACGUUCUUCAGCGGCUUUCUGACGCGCCUCUUCUGCUCUCGCUGUCAACGAUCUCUGCAGCCGGUUCGCAUCGCACAUGCAUGCGUAUGCGCGUGUAUGUGCGUCCCCUCUCUCUUAGAACCUGCGUUUUUAUUUUUUGUUGUUCUAUGAUUUUAUGUUUUUUUUUUGUGUAUAUUCGGCUGCAUCUCCUUUGCUAUGUGACGCCCCCUACCGCCUGAACCUUGUCAAGUCGCUCCUCCCACCCCUCCCACCUGCCAUGGCUGCUCCGUGUCGCGCGCGCACUCGUUGCUCUCCCACAGGCUGUCUUCAUUUUAUUUUCAUUCGCUCUCUCGUUUUGUCUUUUUCUACGGUGCAACGUGGCACCUCACCCGGUGCUCGUGGCGAAUCCUGCGCAGAGCAGAUAAGCGCUUCGGUCCGGAGUUCUGAGGGGGGCUCCGCUUCCGCGCGCUUGUGCGCACGUGGGCUGCAGGUGCCGUUCGACCAUUGCGAGGCGCGCACCGUGUGACUAGCGAGGGGGGGGCGAGAAGAAUGAGACGAAAGAAAACGAGCAAAGCCAAGCGCCUGAAAGGGUAGCCAUGGAUCCCAGACGACGUCUCCAGCCUGCGGAGGGUGGAGACUGCUGCGAAGCGCGCACGCCGGGCGGGCGAGGGUUGUGGCGUGCUCUUGAGGGAGUGCACGUCGCGAGGUGUUGCCCCCCCCGGUUUCCCGCGCUGAGCCUUCCCUUGUUUGCCACUCGCCGUCUCUGCAAGGUCUUGCCUUGCUUCUUCGAAAGCCCUUAUGCUUGCGUCGACUGGCGGUGCGUAGCUGCCUCCAUCUUUUCAUGAGACCUUGCCGUUUCAGUGGCUGCAGUGUGGGCGCGUGCGCGUAAGGCAAAUGGGCUUGUGGGCUGGAACGCGGGAGAAAAGCAAACGCGAGCACAAGGAAACCCCACAAGUCCACGCCAUUUUUGUAGACGCACGUUUAGAACAUCAUGCGCGGGUGCAUUGCUUUUUGUUUGGAAUAUUAUUUCAGUUUCUUUGUCUCUCAAGUUCGUCUUCAUAGCCUCCGUGUCGUGAAGCGCGGGCAGUGGAGGAGAUGAAGCCGACCAUGUGUGUGAGGCUCAACGGCGAAACUCUGUUGGACGAAAUGGGGACGCGGUUGCUGAUGCUUGCGACUCUCGGAGUGACCCCCCUUCCUCCAGAUUCGGCUGAAGGCUUGCACAGACGGAGGAGGUUGCCUGCAUUGAGGGAUGCAGUCUGGUGAUCUCGUUCUGUGUGCCUGUGUGCGCGUGUGCAUGUCUGUGACACCCCCGUACAGACUUCCUUUCCAGCUUCCUUGUCUAUGUUUUGUAAUCACUUCUUUUCUGCAAGGCCGCUCCGCCUCGCCUCAGCCUCUCCCAUUUCCCGACGUGUUUCUUUUCUCAGAAUGAGGGGGUUUCAGCCCAGAAGGAAGAGCUCAGUCGAUCAUGAAAGGCCCUCGCACACACGGUCAUUGUCGCCCCAACACACCAUGCCUCGCGCAUAAUCACACACGCAUAAGCAGAGACGGAGUGGUGUGGAGUGGGGGUCGAGGGAAGAGGACAUGGCAAGCGCUCGUGCGCUCUGUGUGCCCCUCUACUUGCAACGACGGCUUCUUACCUUGCUUAUAUAUAUUCCGUUCUUCGCCCACGGCUCUUCCCGCCUUUUCGAGGCAGAAACAACGUUGCUUGUUUCUAGUUUUCCUUUGUCCACCUUUGCCGUUGUAUAUGAUGCGCUGCCGCUGUGACGGAGGCCUCAUCUGGUCUUCUCUGCAUGCCCCCUCUCUUUUUCGUUUCGUUGGUUCCUCCCACUGAUGUUUGUUUGUUCGGGCGUCCUGUUACGUUCUUCCUCCCUUUCCUUCCAGGUGAUGCCACGUCUCUCCUUGUCAGGCGUCUCCUUUCGCCGCCGCUUUCGCGCUGCUCGCCAGCUGAAGGAAAGUGGGCGUCGUGCUCUGCUUUCUUCGGAACCUCCCUGCACACACCCCUCUCACUCUUGCGCCGCGCGUGUGGGUGGUGGAGUGUGAUGGAGUGCCUCGCUCUCAGGUGGUGCUCGCUGUGGUGGCUUCACCGACUUGUUUUGCCUUCGUUUCUUCUGUCUGCUUGGUCCAUGUGAUGGUGCCAG
rnacentral:misc_RNA from 1 species